UAUUAUGUCGGAUCUUAUGUUCGACUUCUUGGGAAGGUGCAGUAACGAAGCCCUCAAGGAAGAGAUGGAAGAGAAAAGAAGGGCUCAGAUUACUUUCAUGAGGAAGAAGGAUUUCAGGAAAGAGCAACUAGUUCUUGAGGACUUAGUGCUAGAAUACAUAGUAUGAUAGAUUUUCGUUUUAGCUAUAAGAUAGUUGGUACUUUUAAUUUUGAAUCGAAUAUGCAAUAAUGAUGUAUACUUGAUACUUGGUUCAUUUGGAUGGUAAUGUAUGAAUAUUUUGGAUGAUAUAUAAAAUUGUUAUUGUU